rnacentral:lncRNA from 10 species
UUGCCACUAUGCCCAACUAAUAUUUGGAAUUUUCGUAUACGUGGAUUCCAGAGGGGUGACAGCGAAAUUAGGUGACCUCACAGUGACUCAAGCUACCACUUACUGUUGAUUGUGACGAAAUGCCAGCUGAGGCACAUGCCUUGGGAGCUAAGUGGUUGCUGCACUUGACCACUGUGAAGACUGGUGUGGGAAGAAGGGUCGUUUCUGAUGCACUUGAGCAGGGGUCCCCAACCCCUGAGCCAUGGAGCCGCAAGGAGCCACACAGCAGGAGCCUCUCCAGGCCCAGAACUUUCUCCAGUCAGCCUCUACAGACCAAGCUCAUGACUCACAAUGGCCUAUUUAGGCCCAUACCC